rnacentral:rRNA from 1 species
AGCGAACGCUGGCGGCAGGCCUAACACAUGCAAGUCGAACGAACUCUUCGGAGUUAGUGGCGGACGGGUGAGUAACACGUGGGAACGUGCCUUUUGGUUCGGAAUAACUCAGGGAAACUUGUGCUAAUACCGAAUGUGCCCUUCGGGGGAAAGAUUUAUCGCCAUUAGAGCGGCCCGCGUCUGAUUAGCUAGUUGGUGAGGUAACGGCUCACCAAGGCGACGAUCAGUAGCUGGUCUGAGAGGAUGACCAGCCACACUGGGACUGAGACACGGCCCAGACUCCUACGGGAGGCAGCAGUGGGGAAUCUUGCGCGAUGGGCGAAAGCCUGACGCAGCCAUGCCGCGUGAAUGAUGAGGGUCUUAGGAUUGUAAAAUUCUUUCACCGGGGACGAUAAUGACGGUACCCGGAGAAGAAGCCCCGGCUAACUUCGUG